UACGUAGGGGGCGAGCGUUGUCCGGAAUCAUUGGGCGUAAAGCGCGUGUAGGCGGUUCGGUAAGUCUGCUGUGAAAGUCCAGGGCUCAACCCUGGGAUGCCGGUGGAUACUGCCGAACUAGAGUGCGGAAGAGGCGAGUGGAAUUCCCGGUGUAGCGGUGAAAUGCGCAGAUAUCGGGAGGAACACCAAUUGCGAAGGCAGCUCGCUGGGACGUUACUGACGCUGAGACGCGAAAGCGUGGGGAGCAAACAGG
rnacentral:rRNA from 1 species